UCGGCCAACGUUGUGAGCCUAAGGGCUGCCAAGGUUUGGGACUUUCCUUGGUGCUAUGGCAUCUCCUUACCAGACUGAUGGGGUAAAGUUUCCAUCCUCCCCACCAGCCCCCACCUACACACCCAUACCCACACUCACACAUCCUGCUUCCACCUGCUCUUUGCCCAGAUAAAGAUUAGCCCAUCCUCCCUCAUUCCUCCACACCCUCUGCCUCUGAUCCUCCCAGUGUCCCUGGCCCGUCCGGCCUCCCCACCCUAUACAAAUACACCUGAGGUUAGAAGGAGCCUCAGACUUAUUCCCUCUCCUUGCUCUCUGCUCUCAGGUGUUCCUUUUGUCACUCCCUGUGCUUGCUGUAUAAGGAUGGAGUCAGGGGCACUGCCAUGGUGGUGGCCAUGGCCCUGGGCCCUGUUGUGGGGAAAGGCACCCCCCUGGCCAUGGUCCUGGGCACUGUCCUGGGGGGAGCCACUGCCCAGGGCCCUGUGGGCACCCCCCUGGCCAUGGUCCAGGGCACUGUCCUGGGGGAAGCCACCCCCCAGGGCCCUGUGGGCCCCAACCUGGUCCACCUCACUAAGGAAGCAAAAGAAAGAGGAUACAAGAAUGGGGAGUGUGAGUGGGUUGCCCUGCUGACCUGGCAUGGAGCCUGAACCAGAAUCUCCUCUUUCUAAUAAACAGCCUCCCAGAAGCCAUGUUUUACUCUUAAA